rnacentral:rRNA from 1 species
ACGCUGGCGGCGUGCCUAACACAUGCAAGUCGAACGGAGAUAUGAUUUCGGUUAUAUCUUAGUGGGCGAACGGGUGAGUAACGCGUGAGCAACCUGACCUUCAGAGGGGGAUAACACUUGGAAACAGGUGCUAAUACCGCAUAAGACCACGACCCGACAUCGGGAUGCGGUCAAAGGAGCAAUCCGCUGAGGGAGGGGCUCGCGUCCCAUUAGAUAGAUGGCGGGGUAACGGCCCACCAUGUCGACGAUGGGUAGCCGAGCUGAGAGGCUGAUCGGCCACACUGGAACUGAGACACGGUCCAGACUCCUACGGGAGGCAGCAGUGGGGAAUAUUGGGCAAUGGGCGCAAGCCUGACCCAGCAACGCCGCGUGAGGGAAGAAGGCCUUCGGGUUGUAAACCUCUGUCCUUGGUGACGAAACAAAUGACGGUAGCCAAGGAGGAAGCCCCGGCUAACUACGUG